AUAUUGUACAAUGGGGGCAACACUGAUCCAGCCAUGUCGCGUGUGUGAAGAAGGUCUACGGAUUGUAAAGCACUCUAAGCUGGGAGGAAGGGCUUUAGGUUAAUACCCUGAAGUUUUGACGUUACCAACAGAAUAAUCACCGGCUAACUCUGUGCCAGCGGCCGCGGCAAUACAUAGGGUGCAAGCGUUAAUCGGAAUUACCGGGCGUAAAGCGCGCGUAGGUGGUUCAGUAAGAUGGGUGUGAAAUCCCCGGGCUUAACCUGGGAACUGCUUUCAUAACUGCUGAGCUAGAGUACGGUAGAGGGUAGUGGAAUUUCCUGUGUAGCGGUGAAAUGCGUAGAUAUAGGAAGGAACACCAGUGGCGAAGGCGACUACCUGGACUGAUACUGACACUGAGGUGCGAAAGCGUGGGGAGCAAACA
rnacentral:rRNA from 1 species